UCGGCAUAAGAAGAGACAGAAUACCUGGUUCAUAAGUGAUUGAAAGGUAGCCGGAGCAUUUGUUAAUCCGAAGGGCAUUACUAAGAAUUCGUAGUAUCCCUUAUGUGUUCUAAAUGUAUUCUUCUCAAUAUCGUUGUCCCUCAUUCUUAUCUAGUGGUAUUCGGAUCUGAGGUCAAGUUUGGAAUAUAUGGCUACUCCAUGUAGCUCAUCUAGUAGCUCUACAAUCACUGAAAUCCAAAAUUUAUCUGACAUGGUUACUUGGUUUAAUAUCCGAGAGUCCAUGCAGAAUCGUGAUCCCCCAUCUUUCUUUCUUACCAACAGCAUUAGACUUAGAUACAAAUUACGACUGGGUCGAAUUAUCCCUACUUGAAGCAUCUCGCUCACCAGCUUUUCUAUAUCUUCUUUCUGUGUGUACUUGUACUUAUAGGGGCGAACAUUGACUAGCUGUUGUUCUUCCUUCAACAAAAUUAGGUGGUAGAUAGCACUUUUGGGAGGUAAAGUCUUUAAUACUGCAAACACGUCCUCAUUUUCAUCUAAUAGUGAUUGGAUCAUGACGGGUAGUUUUCUUUCUCUCAAUCCACCUUCUCAAGUAACUCCUCGUCGUUUUCCUCCAUUCUUAGGUUCUGAAAUUUAAACAAAAACCCUUGAUCAUUCUCUCAAUCCCAAAUCUUGGAUAUGGCUUUUAAGGACACUUCUGACUUCUUCAACGAAGGGUUUCUUCUCAGAAUGAUCGGUACGUCUCUAGAAAUGAACGCCCUUGUGAAGGAAGGUCAAUGUAUUUGCAUGAAUCCAGUCGUGCAAAGCCAUUGCAUCCCCAGAACAACGUUCAUCUUCACUAAAUCAGUUGUAAGGAAAUCGACCAUUACCUCUAGCUCCGAAAAUCGGAUUACCACUGAACUGCAUCUCCCCCUUCCUUGGAUCGAUGUCCCGUUACCAAUCACCACCUCACCAAGUAAUUGGCACACCCAGCUCCUCCACAAUUUUCAUAUGUUUAAAAUUGUAUGUUGCCCCAUAAUCUAUCAGGACGAUCACCUCCCUUCCUUCCAUUCCUCCUUUUAAUUUCAUCGUUCCUUUCGCUGAGAACCCAAACAUCGAACGCAAUGCUAUCUUUGCAUUUUCAGUGACUUCCAUCACCUUCAUUUCGGUUGGCACUCCUUCUUUUCCCACCUCUGUUUCUUCCAUCUCGUUUUUAUCAUUCAUAAUAAACAACAUUAAUUCACGGUUAGCCCUUGCUUUACAACGAUGCCCAGGGGAGUAUUUGUCGUUGCAUUAAAACAUGGGCCUUUAUCCAACCUUUUUCUAAAUUCACUAUCAGAUAGUUGUUUCAUCAGUGGCUCUUUCUUCCCAUAGGUGACCUUCAUCGGAAUUGAAAUUUGCCUCAUCAUUAGGGUUUCGUUCCCCUUUGUUGUAGUUUUAUCACCCAUCGCAUUUUCUUUUUUCACACCUUGGGCCUCUUUCUUAUUUGACCCAGCCACACCGAACCAACUGAAAGGCCACGUUCCUAUCAUUCAACAAUUGGGCCUCUCGCAUGCAAUCUUCUAAAGUUGAUGGUCUACUAAUAACCUCGACCUAUAGGGCCAGUUCCAGCCCAUUCAUGAAAGCAUCUUGGAGAAUGCUUUUCGCUAUGUCCGGCAAAGGGGCUGAGUAGUUCAUGAACUUCUUCACGUACUUCGCGUAGGUAUCAUCUUGUUUAAUUCUUAUCAACCUCACCCCCAGACUACCCUCUUCCGUUGGGUGGAAAUUGUCGAACAUUCUCUUCUUCAACUCUUCCCAGGAUGUGAUGGCUUUGUGAUUGUGACUCCAUCUAAACCAAUCGACUUAUCGGGAGCAAAACUCACCACCGACACCUUCACUUUUUCCGCGUUGUUCAACUCGUGGAUCUCGAAAUAGUGCUCAAUACAAUAGACCCAAGAUUCCAGGCUUUCCCCCGAGAAAAUCGACAUUUCCAAUCGUUUAUAUUUGCUCUUAUCAAUGCCUCUGUUCAUUAGAUUCACGAACGACUCCAUUUCAUCAAUCUUUCCUUUGAGCUUGAGUCGCGACCCUUUAUAGAUCCUGGAUUCUUCACUCUUACGUGCGGCAUUAUUCUCUUUGAUUUCUUUCGAUAGUUUCUCGAUGCUUUUAUAGAGUCCAAGAAGCAUAUCCUUCAUGUGAGUUAUCUCCUUCUCGUUGGAUUCCAAUCAUUCUUCCACUUGUUUCUGCACCAUCGCUCUAGUUCGCCCCAAGAUUAACGCUCUGAUACCAAUUUUUUAGGUUCCCUUCCUGCACUCAAAUAACCCGACAAGGACAUCAAACAAAACAGAGCAAAAGUAGCUCUAGUAGUGUAAUGUUACUAAUUGAAUAAGAGUCUAAAUAGAGAAAAUAUAGCGAACAAUCCCAGUGUAAUUACUAACAAAAAGGGAAAACAAAAAGAAGCAAAAAGAAUGGUAAAACCAGCACUUCCAAGGGAGCUGGUAGUCCUCUCCCCUUAAAAAAUUUUGUCAACCUUUUCCCUAAUUAUUCCCUGCGUCAUUCCUUCCCCCACUCUCUUUUUAUAGCCUAGUUCUAGUCCCUCAGUCAUAUUCCCCUAUCACGGCUUCAGCAGGUGGUGUCCCUUGAGCAUAUUCUCCUUUAGUGGUUCCAGCAAGUGGUAUCACUCGUAAAGUCCCCUUUUUACCCCUCAUUUUGAGCAUGGCCUGCACUUGAGCCUGAGAAAAUUAUUGCCCGUAAGCAGCAGAUUCAGGGGAAGGUUAUCAAUGGCAUGUUGCCGAAUAAUCAAUUACAUGGACGACGUAGCAACGGAAAUGGAGAAGUUGAACACAAGCACAGAUUACAGUGCUCGAUAUCUUUGCUCGACUUCAAGGUAGCAAUGGAGCUUAAUCCAACACAACUAGGGGAAUACUGGAACUGGAGAAAGUUUGUAUGCAUCCGUUUGAGGAAUGAAACGACUCUGAUAUUUCUGUUUAUCCCAUUCCACAGAUAGAUCUAGCCAUGAUUUAAGGGUCUCAAGCUUUUGUGUAAAUUUAGAUCAUUGAGGAAAUAUACAAAAUUUUGCAAAGAUGUAGUUUGUAGCUUGGUGAGAGGUAACUACUAGUGAAAGAACUUAGUGCUGCUAUUUGUGUAUUUAAAUCUGAGAAUCGAUUUGAAUUUCAUAUGAAUAACUCAUCACUACAAUCUGCACAUGGUAUCCUCUGUAUCUCAUGUUUUUUUGGGUUAGAUAGAAAGAUGCAGAUGCUAUAAAAUGAUAUAGCAUUUUUAUUCUUUAAACAUCUAUGUUCAGAACGUUCCACAUUUAUAUCGCAAUAGUCAGCAAUAUUUAGAUUGAUACGAUGUUUAUUUUCCUGCUGUUUCUGUUAGAACUUUUUAAGCAUAUAUCCUCAGUGUAUCCAUCAACUGUUUAGAGGGUUACAUGACUCAAAGGUCAGAAACAUUAUUCAAUUUGGUCACUACAAUAUAACUGGCCUUAUAAUAAUUAUACUCCUUAGUAACUACCCAGAUAAAAUUCGGGUAUUUCUCUCUCCACAUCUAACCAUGAAGAACUGUUGGUCACAUUAUGAUAGCUUCGCCGUAUAAAGAGAUUCCGACAAAUUUAUAUAUGACAUCAAACAACUUUGACUAAAUGCACCAGAAAUUCUAACAGAAGUCCAAUCCCGAUAUUUAGUUGGGGAAUUCAGACACCAACAUAGAAUAUUUGAAAAUUCAAAGAAAAUAAAACUAAUACAGAAAUUCAGAAACAAAACUCAGAUAUAAAUCUGACUGCUUUCAGUCCAAUUUAGAAAAUUCAGUAAAUGGAAGUACUGAGAAUUUAAAAGGACGGUUUUUACAAGUGGAGAGAUUUCAUCAUUCACCAAUUAGACUGAGUUUGGACUUCAAAGCCAAAGGUCGGCCUGUGCUUAUUAAGUUGGUUUAAAUAGAACAGAAUUGCUAUGUACAAUAAAUCUUGGGUGGGGGGAGAAGAUUAAUCCUCCUCCUCCUUUUUUUUUUUUUUUUUUUUUUUU